rnacentral:misc_RNA from 1 species
GCAUGGCAUGUAUCGAUCACGUACUGACAUGUCUAUUGUUUUAUGAGUGGGUUUUCCCUCAUGAGCUGAAGGCUAUUCGGUGGUGAUUGAUCUUUCCAAUGGGUUGACGCAUGAGUGGUGAUUAGGAUGUGUUUUCAUGCAGGCUCUUCAUAUCAUAUGACGAACUGUGUGGAGCUAUUUGUCUCAGUAAUCCAUUGCCUCGUCCUAUAUUUGCUCGUUGCAAAAUGAUUGGGUGGUUUCUGUGUUUGCUACUGAUUUUGGUAUGUGGGAUUGAUGGAAUCCAUUGUGCUUUGUUCUUGCCACCGUUGGCUUGUUUGGCAAAAGGUGGACGUCGCAUCGGUCUCCUGUGUUUCACGCAAGUUAUCCUUCUUUGGGUGGGAUUUGUGAUGGCUCAUGGGUGAUUGUUUAUGCUCUCGGGUAUGUGAAAUAUUCGGUUGUUGUUUGGGUCUUUUGACCCAUACAUAUAAUUUCUCAAGCAUUUUGCUUUGUUUGGUUUGACCCUCGUGCUUGUUCCGGAGCUCAUCGAGCCUUAGGGCGCGUUGUUCAUCACGGAGAUGCUGAGGUCCAUAAGGAAUGC